rnacentral:rRNA from 1 species
AGUGAACGCUGGCGGCAGGCCUAACACAUGCAAGUCGAACGGCAGCACAGUAAGAGCUUGCUCUUACGGGUGGCGAGUGGCGGACGGGUGAGGAAUACAUCGGAAUCUACUUUUUCGUGGGGGAUAACGUAGGGAAACUUACGCUAAUACCGCAUACGACCUACCGGUGAAAGCAGUGGAUCUUCGCACCUUGCGCGAUUGAAUUAGCCGAUGUCGGAUUAGCUAGUUGGGGGGGUAAAGGCCCACCAAGGCGACGAUCCGUAGCUGGUCUGAGAGGAUGAUCGGCCACACUGGAACUGAGACACGGUCCAGACUCCUACGGGAGGCAGCAGUGGGGAAUAUUGGGCAAUGGGCGCAAGCCUGAUCCAGCCAUACCGCGUGGGUGAAGAAGGCAUUCGGGUUGUAAAGCCCUUUUGUUGGGAAAGAACAGCAGCAGGUUAAUACCCCGCUGUUCUGACGGUACCCAAAGAAUAAGCACCGGCUAACUUCGUG